CAAGGAAAAAGUGCGGCAGUGUUUGGGAUUAUUAAUGUCUGUCCUAUAUUGGCGGACAUUAAAUAGUGGAGGAAGACACACCAUGCUAGAGUAACAGCAGGUGCCUGGAGUAACAAUCAAGAGAAAGGCACAAAGUGCUGGAGUAACUCAGCAAGUCCGAUGGCAUCUCUGGAGAACAUGGAUAGGUGACAUUUCGGGUCACAAGGCAGGGCACGGCUGGAUUUUGGACAAAGGCCAGAGAUGUAGAGUGGGCGAUCCCGAGGUACCGAGGGGUGCGUGGAGACCGAUGCAGAAGC